rnacentral:lncRNA from 1 species
UGAGAGGCACUCCUGUUGGAAGGUGGAUGAGUGGCUGAGCCUCACUGGGAAAACUGGGUCCUGGAACCCAUUGGGAUCCCUCCUACCAGGAGUGAGUGGCUUUCUAGAUUAUAGCUUUCAGACAGGAGUGUGGAGGGUGCACAGGGAAAGCCGGUGCUCAGCAAUGUUAACCCAACUUGUUUGAGGAAAGACCCACCCAGACUCCAUUUUUAUCUCCCGAACCUUCACCCCCAUUUUCCACUUAUCUAUGGCUGAUGGCGCGAAAACAAGGUCUUUGUUUCUCGGUCUAACGGUCUAACUGGGUACCUGCUGCUGUGGUUCCACCCACUUGAAGACUCACUGGCUUAAGCCUGUGACAUCACAAGUCCGGUCGCUGCGGAAACGGGCAAUGAGGGGUGAUUGGCAGGUACUGCUUUUGUUACUGUUCUCCAGACAGGCACACUGAGGCCCUUGUGUUCUCUCCUCCUCUGGCCAGACUCCAUCCCUGGCGACAGAAUCACGUGACAUCUGAGGCAGGACCAGACAAACAUCCAGCCUCUCUGAGGGACCCAAUGUCAUGAUUCUCACAUGUAGCCAUGUUUGGAAAUCCCUGGCCUGAAUGCCCCUCCUCAUGGUUAUAUAGCAACCCUGCACACGUAUUAGAAGUGCAGGAUGGAGGCCCCAACAACAGUGGGUCUGUAUUUUAAUUAGCCCUGUGUGACAGUUGAGUAUCUCCUCUCCUGGGUGUUGAAAUGUCAUAGAGGACCUGCCUCAUGGAGCCCUGGGCUCAAGGCUUCUUUCUUCCUCUUACCCCACCAGCCUUGGUAUGAGGUAUCAACCCCACAUUGUAUGUUGGACUCAGAAGCCCCUAGGGAAGGAGAGAAGGUUUCACCCUUCUCCAGGACCCACCAUCAACAUACUUCAUCUCCAACCUGCAGAGGAAGGGUCUGGAGAAAACGGAGUAUGGAAGAGGGCAGGAGACUCUUACACGCGUUCUCGCGACCGGCCAGGAAGAACACAACAAACCGGAAUCUUCUGCGGCAAAAGCUUUAUUGCUUACAUCUUCAGGAGCCAGAGAGCAAGAGAGCAAGAGCUCUAUUGCUUACAUCUUUAGGAGCCAGAGCGCAAGAGUGCAAGAGCAAGAGAGCAAGAGUGCAAGCGCUUUAUUGCUUACAUCUUUAGGAGCCAGAGCGCAAGAGAGCAAGAGAGAGAAUGGCGAAACCCCGUCCCUUUUUAAGGAGAAUUAUCCUCCGCCUAGGACGUGAUUAUCCUCCGCCUAGGACCCUGAUUGGCUGCAGCCCAUCGGCCGAGUUGUCGUCACGGGGAAGGCAGAGCACAUGGAGUGGAGAACUACCCUUGGCACAUGUGCAGAUUAUUUGUUUACCACUUAGAACACAGGAUGUCAGCGCCAUCUUGUAACGGCGAAUGUGAGGGCGGCUUCCCACAGGAGACCCAUGGGGGAGUGCCUAUAAACUAGCGAUGGUGGCUCCUGACAUCAGGAACAAGGCAUCUUUAACUGCCAAGUGAGAAAAGAACUGGCAGAGAGAUUAACGUCUACUGAUUCCCAGUUCCCUCCCUGUGACCAACAGUUCACCAUAGCCCUACAUAUGGAAGAAAGACAAGGGAGAUUAGAGCCAAACCCCACCUGGCCAACCCCUGUGGUGAGAAUUUGGGGCUUCUUUUUUAUGUUAUGUGACUAUGUUUUUGUUUCACUCCCAGGUGUGGGAUAAGAGGCUGCUUCACAGCAGGUGACGGUGAUUUGUCUAGUGUACUAGGAGGGGUGUGAUUUUUGCCCAACUGCAGAUAAUUUACACUUGGAAUUCUGGGAACUUUGGAGAGGGUAUAAAUUCAAGAGUCCCCACGUGGGGGUGGGGUGGGGGCAGGGUUCCUGCUCCUGUUGGUUCCUGUUGUGGCUUGUUGGAUGGUUGUGAGCAAAGAGACAAGAAGUUGGAGGUAGUUUGAAGAUUAAGAUUAGACUUGCCCCCAGGAACCCAAUGCCUCUAAGCAUCAGGACGCAGUCUAAAGAGGUCUGUGCCCCCUUUCCAUUCUAAGCUUCUUUCUUUACUACCUAGUAUUGGGGGUUGGAAGGGAUUAGGGUAGAAUAGUGUUGGAAGGGUGGUAGAUAUAAGAACCCAAUAAAGUAGAGAAAAAAAAAAAAGCAAGCCAGCAAACCCCUUGGUCCUGCCCUGUCUGCUCAUUGCCAGGAACUGUAACUAGACUUGAGGGUGGGGUGCUCUUGACUGAAAAUUAAGUCUUGUUUAUCAAAAUGGAAGCAGGCAUCAAGCACGCACAGCUGAGAACAAUGACCACACAGGUGGGCAGUGGCUUCUAUGAACUGGGAACAGCUGGCCUCCUGACUACUGGAGAAAGUGGGAAGAGAGGAUGUCUACUACUUCAUGCAGGGGAGUUGGGUGUCUCCACCAUGGGAAGCUGCCCCAUUAUUGUGUAGGCAUAUCAUGGUAGCCCUAGAGAGCCAGUACAGGAGGUGGUGGCUGAGGCACUGUCGUGACUGUUGUCAUAUAAGUCCUCUGGGGCCUCCUGGUGUGGUGUGUCUGUCAUCUCCAAUUAGCAUCUGUACUGGCUGGUUUUGUGUAUCAACUUGACACAAGCUGGGGUUAUCACAGGGAAAGGAGCUUCAGUUGGGGGAAGUGCCUCCAUGGGAUCCAGCUGUAAGGCAUUUUCUCAAUUAGUGAUCAAGGGGGAAAGGCCCCUUGUAGGUGGGAUCAUCUCUGGACUGGUAGUCUUGGGUUCUAUAAGAGAACAGGCUGAGCAAGCCAGGGGAAGUAAGCCAGUAAAGAACAUCCCUCCUUGGGCUCUACAUCAGCUCCUGCUCCCUAACCUGCCUGAGUUCCAGUCCUGCAUCCUUUGGUGAUCAACAGCAAUGUGGAAAGUGUAAGCUGAAUAAACC